GUCUGCCCUUGCUGUCUCACAAGGACCGGAAGAGGAUGAAACACCAGUCAGUGCCGGGGGAGUUGCGACGGAAAAAAUUUUUUCCAUCUUGGUCAAGUCGCCAUCGGGAAAUCAUUCAGACUCAAUAUUGAGACUGAUACAGGGCGAAUUAUUUUUCUUUAUAUGAAUACACUGCCACUGUCUUCAGACACACCAGAAGAGGGCAUCAGAUCUCAUUACAGAUAUUGUGAGCUACCAAUUGGUUGCUGGGAACUGAACUCAGGACCUCUGGAAGAGAAGUCAGUGACCCUAACCUCUGAGCCAUCUCUCCAGACCAAUGAAGACUAUCCUUGACAUCUUCACUAGAAACCCCUUCAUAAACACAGAUGUGUGAUCUUCAAUCCAGUCAAGAUAAUAGUGAAGAUUCACCUCGGAAGUGAUUUAGCCGCCUACGCAGCCCUGACCUCCAAGGCGUUCUGGAGCGCCAGAAGACUCUGGAACCCGUGUGCAGCUGUUUAGUAGCUGUACUGCUUGGUCUUGGUAAGUUCCGUGUCUUCAAGUGGUAGUAGUUGACCCAGAAUUAAAGAGGAGCUCUGAGAACCCCCAGACACCCCAGGACCCUGGGUGGCCUCCUCUUCUAAAGACAAAGGACUUUAUGGGCUAGGGAUGAGACUGGAAAGUGCCGAGCUGCGAUUCAGAACUCUGCCCUUCCAUUGCCCUGUGGCUCUGAGCUAGUUAAUCUCUCUGAGCCCCGGUUUCUUCCUACAUAGAAGGAAAUAUUUACAGUAUUGUUUGGCACGGCUGUGAGGCAAUGCGUCCUAAGGAAUUGAGAGGGCAGUGCUGGGAGCAUGCUAAAUGAGAUUAACUGGAAAAGCUGGUUAGAGCAGACCCAGCGUCCCUCUUUUCAGGUGAAAGGUCAAGGCUGCACAGCAGGUUCCAGAGGACCCAGCAAUUGCUAGAUUGUGAGCCAUUUCUUUCCAGAGAUAGGCUGGGUGAACAGAGAGGUGCCAUUUAGAAGAUCUGAUGUUGUUUAAGUAUUUCAAUAAUUGAAUAUGGGUUCACUCUACCUGAAUAACGAUUACAAUUUAAAUAUCAGUAAAUGGUCAUUAUGAAUUAAUGUAGGUGAAGUUGCCCAGAAACUAGAUUUCCAUCUCAAAGCUUCUGUCAGUGGAUCACCCCCACAGAGUCAAGA
ensembl:lncRNA